rnacentral:rRNA from 1 species
GUUAGGAAUAUUGGACAAUGGGGGGAACCCUGAUCCAGCCAUGCCGCGUGUGUGAAGAAGGCCUUUUGGUUGUAAAGCACUUUAAGCGAGGAGGAGGCUACCGAGAUUAAUACUCUUGGAUAGUGGACGUUACUCGCAGAAUAAGCACCGGCUAACUCUGUGCCAGCAGCCGCGGUAAUACAGAGGGUGCAAGCGUUAAUCGGAUUUACUGGGCGUAAAGCGCACGUAGGUGGCCAAUUAAGUCAAAUGUGAAAUCCCCGAGCUUAACUUGGGAAUUGCAUUCGAUACUGGUUGGCUAGAGUAUGGGAGAGGAUGGUAGAAUGCCAGGUGUAGCGGUGAAAUGCGUAGAGAUCUGGAGGAAUACCGAUGGCGAAGGCAGCCAUCUGGCCUAAUACUGACACUGAGGUGCGAAAGCAUGGGGAGCAAACAGGAUUAGAUACCCGUGUAGUCC